CAAACCUGAACAAACACAGAACAGCAGCAGCUCAGACAGUCAGGAGACGUCAGGAGACAUCACUGUGGUCAUUAAUGGCAAGACCAAAUAUAUAAGUCUACAAAACGAGUCUGAUCAGGACAAACCACUGGAAGGACAUCAGUUAAAAGUCCAGAUCAACAAUAGUGAACCCAUCACAUACACAUUUGAUCCAUCAGUGGAAGUCAAGGCUGGAAACUCUGUUACUAUAUGCCAUCCAGACUAUGACCAGCGUUAUGUUCUACCUGGUGAACUGGUCUGGGAGGACCUUAAGGCCUGGAGGUCUGGAGACAGAGUCCAGGUCUCUCUGCAGUGAAAUAAGUUCAAUAAAGUUCAGUAAUCCAGCAAACAGCAACAUUAUAGAUGAGAAACAGCACGACUCAGAUCUUCCUGCAGAAACCACACACUGCAGAGAAAGUCUCUGGAAACACUUGGCUCCAUUUUAUUGGAUUGGUCAAGUUUGAUGUGAACGUUGGUUUGUUUAAAGACUUUUACAGGAUGACGUCAGUGUUUUAGAUUCUAUGUAACAAGUCUCCUUGUUUCCUCGAAUUAACAGAUGAAAAUAGCAGUUAAUAUAUGGAUGUAAAUGUCAACUCUUAUUUUGAAAAACCUACAUGUGUUGAUUUUUUUUUUUUUUAAAUAAAGAAUGUACUUUUGUAUUUAUU